GCAGACACAUUCCAGCCAAUCAGCAGCAGACCCUCCGUCCCAGACCCUCCCACCUCCUGGACAGCAUCCAUUUUACAUUCAUUGUGAAUCUGCAUUCUUAGUGAGCUGUCCAGGAGAUGGGAGGGUCUGGGAGGGAGGGUUUGCUGCUGAUUGGCUGGAAUGUGUCUG
rnacentral:miRNA from 1 species